rnacentral:lncRNA from 1 species
CAGAUGAAUAUGAAAGAAAGAAUAACAAUGGUCCACAAAGCUCUCAAUCAUCAUAUAUGUCUCCCGAAUAUCUCAAUUUGCCAAUUUGAUCCAGAUAAACCAAAGGGCUUGAGGAUUGUUUCCCAAGGAAACCCUAAUUCAACUGUGCAUUGACUGUGCCUUGCUCAUGAAGCAACCUCAACCUAUGAUCAAAUCCAAUCAAUGGAAGUUCUUUCAUU